UAUAUCAUGUUUGACAUAAGGAUUAUUUUGAGCUGAUGACAGUCGAGAAGUGGAUACAAGCUAAGCUCUCUGCCAGCCUAUUUGCCUAAAGACGGGGCAUACAUUUGUAAACGUGCCCUCUCCGCUACCCACCAGGAGGGCAGAAGCUGAUCACCAGAGAUGGCUGCAGAUAGAAAAGCUUGAUUGAAGAGCCCCAGCCAUUGAACCCAAGAGGGUGGAGGGAAAAGGCUUUUUCCUCUCUUACGUCUCCAUCUAGACAGUGAUAGCACCACACAUUUGCACAGCUCCACAGUAGCCCAGCAGCUAGAUACUCCGUAAAUAUUUGCUGAAAGAAUAAAUCAACACAAGCAAAUCUGAGUACUAGCUCAAAAGGUGAUCGCACUUUGUUAAGCUACAAUCUGAAGCACGUUCAGCUCUGUUGCUUCUGUUGGAAUCGAACUCAUGACCUGGAGCUUGCCAGUCAAGCUCUUAUGCCGCUGAGUUAUGUCCCCGGCCCUUGGGAAUGACUCCUUGUUUGUUUCUCUCUCAUGAAAUUAGCCAUUAAAUAAUUAAGGAAAGUCCAGCCAGUUUUGA